GCGGGAGUGGUGUUAGCGGCUAGCAUAUCAGCCUUCCAAGCUGAAGGGGCGGGUUCGAGUCCCGUCUCCCGCU
rnacentral:tRNA from 1 species